CCACGUCCCCGAUUUAGGCCGCACCCGGAGGCAGACCUAGCGCCAGACCUCCGUUGCGCGCGGCGGCCUGAGGUGGCUACGCCUCCGCUCCCUCCCACUGUUCGACGGCCACGCAUUCGCGCACGGCACGGCCGCGGGGCGCCUCGCGCUCCCCUGCUAGUCCCAGCUGCGGGAACUGCUUUCCGCCCCAGUGUUUGUUUGGCUGAUCACUAGGCAGUUAUCUGUCCAGUUAGUUGUUGGUUUUGGUGGAUUUUCUCGCUCGAUUAAGUAUGCUCGAAAUAGUACACCAAAAGUAAAACAGGAGCACAUAUCGCAAACCAGGCACAGUUAUUACCACCUAAAAGGGGAAUGCAAUAUUAUUGAACACCCCUUGCAGCACAGAGCUUCCCCAAUUACAUAUAUCUGGGCUUUUAAUUGCCCAAAGCAGCGAAAAGAAUGCCCGGGAACGAUGUUUAUUCCUGUAUGAAUGGUAUUUACCAAAUAUCCUA